GGAACAUUUUUACCGGACGAACAAUUAUGCCACGAAAAACACGUGUACGACAAGGAGAGUGGGCUUGGGAUCAAUGGCGAAAAACUUAUCUGUGGGAAUGAAGAGAAGGAAAAUGAACGCGUCAUUCAUUCUGUUCUCAACACAAAGAAACCAAAAUGUUGCGGAACACAGAUGUAUUCUUCUUUGACAGAGAUUUGUUGUGAUGGGUUGCUUAAAAGUUUACAUGAAGGCUGCAAAGAUUCUAUGACGGAAAGUUUCGCCAAAGAAGAGAUAUCCAGUACAAAUAAUACACUUUUUAACCUUCAUUUUCCUGGAAUUUGCAAGAUAUUGAAAGAAGUGGGUAACUGUUACCUUUUUAAAAUCUUUUGCGAAUAAUGUAUGCAUUUGACAUGUUAUGCCAUCUUGAAUCAACGGCCCUCGUGUUGUCCAAACUCAAAAGUGGAAUACUCAAGAGACGCUUGUGAAUACGGAACAUUUGGCUUUAUGGUAUACUGGAAAUUGAUAUUCAUGGUAAUCCAAAAUGUUUAUGAAUUACUGCAGAACACAGAGGCAGGAGAAAUUGACAUUCGGGAAAUUCUGUUCAAAAGCAUGCCACUUUUA